rnacentral:rRNA from 1 species
GACGAACGCUGGCGGCGUGCUUAACACAUGCAAGUCGAGCGGUAAGGCCCCUUCGGGGGUACACGAGCGGCGAACGGGUGAGUAACACGUGGGUGACCUGCCUCUAGCUCUGGGAUAAGCCUGGGAAGCUGGGUCUAAUACCGGAUAUGACCUCGCGGUGCAUGUUGCGGGGUGGAAAGCCUUGUGCGGCUAGGGAUGGGCCCGCGGCCUAUCAGCUUGUUGGUGGGGUGANGGCCUACCAAGGCGACGACGGGUAGCCGGCCUGAGAGGGCGACCGGCCACACUGGGACUGAGACACGGCCCAGACUCCUACGGGAGGCAGCAGUGGGGAAUCUUGCGCAAUGGGCGAAAGCCUGACGCAGCGACGCCGCGUGAGGGAUGACGGCCU